UGCAUCCCCCGGGAAUCGAACCCGGGCCGCCCGCGUGGCAGGCGAGCAUUCUACCACUGAACCACC
rnacentral:tRNA from 1 species